GAUGAACGCUGGCGGCGUGCUUAACACAUGCAAGUCGAACGGUGAAGCCCAGCUUGCUGGGUGGAUCAGUGGCGAACGGGUGAGUAACACGUGAGCAACCUGCCCCGGACUCUGGGAUAAGCGCUGGAAACGGCGUCUAAUACUGGAUAUGAGCUGCGAAGGCAUCUUCAGCAGCUGGAAAGAUUUUUUGGUCUGGGAUGGGCUCGCGGCCUAUCAGCUAGUUGGUGAGGUAACGGCUCACCAAGGCGUCGACGGGUAGCCGGCCUGAGAGGGUGACCGGCCACACUGGGACUGAGACACGGCCCAGACUCCUACGGGAGGCAGCAGUGGGGAAUCUUGCACAAUGCGCGAAAGCGUGAUGCAGCAACGCCGCGUGGGGGAAGAAGGCCUUCGGGUUGUAAACCCCUUUCAGUUGAGACGAAGGUUCGACGGUGAAUAGCCGGCUGGACUGACGGUACCUUCAGAAGAAGCUCCGGCUAACUAC
rnacentral:rRNA from 1 species